rnacentral:rRNA from 1 species
GACGAACCGAGCGAACGUUAUUCGGAAUCACUGGGCUUAAAGGGCGCGUAGGCGGGCGACCAAGUCAGGGGUGAAAUCCCACGGCUCAACCGUGGAAGUGCCUCUGAUACUGGCCGUCUCGAGGGAGGUAGGGGCGUGCGGAACUUCCGGUGGAGCGGUGAAAUGCGUAGAUAUCGGAAGGAACACCGGUGGCGAAAGCGGCGCGCUGGACCUCUUCUGACGCUGAGGCGCGAAAGCCAGGGGAGCGAACGGG